rnacentral:rRNA from 1 species
CGGGAACAGCUCAAAUUUGAAAUCUGGCCCUCGGGUCCGAGUUGUAAUUUGCAGAGGAUGCUUUUGGCGCGGUGCCUUCCGAGUUCCCUGGAACGGGACGCCUUAGAGGGUGAGAGCCCCGUACGGUUGGCCACCAAGCCUGUGUAAAGCUCCUUCGACGAGUCGAGUAGUUUGGGAAUGCUGCUCAAAACGGGAGGUAUAUUUCUUCUAAAGCUAAAUACUGGCCAGAGACCGAUAGCGCACAAGUAGAGUGAUCGAAAGAUGAAAAGCACUUUGAAAAGAGGGUUAAAUAGCACGUGAAAUUGUUGAAAGGGAAGGGUUUAUGACCAGACUUUUUCUAGGGGGAUCAUCCGGUGUUCUCACCGGUGCACUUCCCCUAGUUGAGGCCAGCAUCGGUUUCUGCCGGGGGAUAAAAGCUUCGGGAAUGUGGCUCCUUCGGGAGUGUUAUAGCCCGUUGUAUAAUACCCUGGCGGGGACCGAGGUUCGCGCAUUCGCAAGGAUGCUGGCGUAAUGGUUAUUAACCACCCGUCUUGAAACACGGACCAAGGAGUCGAACAUUUGUGCGAGUGUUUGGGUGUUAAACCCUCACGCGUAAUGAAAGUGAACGGAGGUGAGAGCCUUUAGGGGUGCAUCAUCGACCGAUCCUGAUGUCUUCGGAUGGAUUUGAGUAGGAGCAUCACUGUUCGGACCCGAAAGAUGGUGAACUAUGCGUGGAUAGGGUGAAGCCAGAGGAAACUCUGGUGGAGGCUCGCAGCGGUUCUGACGUGCAAAUCGAUCGUCAAAUCUGCGCAUGGGGGCGAAAGACUAAUCGAACCAUCUAGUAGCU